rnacentral:lncRNA from 1 species
CACCGAGGCCCCGCCCGCUGCCCGCCUCCCUCCCGGGGUCCCGGAGAGGCUCCAAGUCCUUCUCGUCGACACUUCCACCCCCCGCAUGGGGCGUGCCCGCAAGGCACUUCACGGACGGGGCAACGGAGGCUGCCUGAGGUGGAGCCGGGCAGGCCUGACGGCGCCCCCCAUCCGCGCCCGGGGAGCGGCAGGAACGCCCCUCGCAUUUCUAGGCUUUCAAAGGACUUUCCCAUCUGGGCUCUCUUGCAGGCAGGCGGGCGCGUGACUCUCCCAGAUUCAAGGAAGAGGUGGCUGGGGAAGAACCUUGGCCCGCGGGGGCGCGGGCGGGUACUGGUGGGGCAGUGCCCACCAGGAGGCACCUGUGCACAGGGACUGUUCUUGGGGCCUGAAACUCCUGGGGAACCUGGUGUCCUGCUGUUUCCCAGUUUUGCACUUUGGGCAUCUGUGACAGCUCAAGAAAAUAAGGUUCCUCCGAGUGAGGGGCCCACCUGAUCAGCCAGGCGGCAUCGGGACUGCGGAGCCCCAGGCAGCCACGCUGGUCUGGGGCACAUUUCCAAGCCAGAUGGCCUGUUUCCCGUCCUGCUCCCCAGCGCAUGCUUGGCCCCUCUGGGUUUGACCCGAUGGCCGCGGCUGGGACAGGAUCGGGGGCGCCUGCCCAAACAGCACACGCAGCAGCACACCUGAGCCUUGGAGGCAGAAGAAACCAGGAGAGGGAGUGGCAGGCCACAGAAAAAGGGGGGAUACACGCUCUCGGCCCGUCUCGCGGGCCUUCUCAGAGCCUUCAUCCCCUGCAGUGCACUGUUCUCCCAAGGGAGUGCCGCCUGGCACGGGGGAUCCCAGCCUGACUUGCACCCGGAAA